UGGGGAAUAUUGGACAAUGGGCGAAAGCCUGAUCCAGCAAUGCCGCGUGAGUGAUGAAGGCCUUAGGGUUGUAAAGCUCUUUUACCCGGGAUGAUAAUGACAGUACCGGGAGAAUAAGCCCCGCUAAGCUACCCGUGCCAGCAGCCGCGGUAAUACGGAGGGGCGUAGCGUUGUUCGGAAUUACUGGGUGUAAAGCGCACGUAGGCGGCUCUGUAAGUUAGAGGUGAAAGCCCGGGCGUCAACUCCGGAAUUGCCUUUAAGACUGCAUCGCUAGAAUUGUGGAGAGGUAAGUGGAAUUCCGAGUGUAGAGGUGAAAUUCGUAGAUAUUCGGAAGAACACCAGUGGCGAAGGCGACACCUGGACCAGCACUGACACUGAGGCACGAAAAGCGUGGGGAGCAAAACA
rnacentral:rRNA from 1 species